UCACAAACGACUCUCGGCAACGGAUAUCUCGGCUCACGCAUCGAUGAAGAACGUAGCAAAAUGCGAUACUUGGUGUGAAUUGCAGAAUCCCGUGAACCAUCGAGUUUUUGAACGCAAGUUGCGCCCGAAGCCUUUUGGCCAAGGGCACGUCUGCCUGGGCGUCACGC
rnacentral:rRNA from 1 species